rnacentral:lncRNA from 1 species
GGUGCACCUUCAUUGGAUACUUCUUUGAGGAGCAACCAAUCUAGAAGGUUUGACACUCAACAACCAAAAAUUUAAACCAAACACACAAAUUUAAAACAUAAACAAUACUCAUUACUUAAAAAAUUUAAAAAUGUGCAUGGGGGACAAAACACCCCAAAAGUACAUAACCAAAAUCAAAAUCCAACAAAUCUGAAAAAUACAAUAAAAUAAAACAAAUCUGAAAAAUACAAUAAAAUAAAACAAACUUAGCCCUCAAAGGACUCAAAACCCUCAUCACUACCGGCUUCAGAACCAGUAGCAUCAUC